CUAUCAACGACGCAUUGUUAUUGUUGUCUCACCUGUCAACUUGCAACUGUUCAAGAGGAAUAUUAACAGCUUUGAUUUCACCAGUCUUGUGGGGCCUGUGAAGAUAAUAAGCACAGCUCCUUCCUCUAGACCAAACCAUUAAAAAAAUAUAAACAUGGAUUCAA